GUCCAUUUCUGGAACUGCUAUUUGUAUAUUGCAUGAUAUUUUAUCAGGAAAAAAUAUAAAACAGAUCUAAUUUCAUGAAAAUGCUGUUGCCAUAAUGCUCAGGAGAACAGGGGGAAGAGAGAGAUUCAAGUCUUCCUAAUGUCUACCUUAUAUGCAGAGCCUUGGAAAGAUGGGCAAAUGCUCUGUGACAAGCCACCAGGGUAGACUGGUACUGAAAAGACCCUACUACACACAGGGGCUCUGUCCCUGGCUGGAAAGUUACAAGUCAGCCUACCUCUCUGUGAUCUGGUUUCCACACCUACUACUCUUUAUCCCAUGAGGAGCUUCUGGAAACUAAAAUAGCAGCUGCCCAGGUAGAAGAGUGUUGACCAAAGGACACAUCACCAGCACAGACUGUUAAUCAUGUGACUAGAGAAAACUCUCAUGGUGGCAUUCAAAUUUCCAUAUCCUUCUUCUAUGGAAAUUUCUGAGAGACCCAGAAAAGAAGCGUAACGACGAGGGAAAGUGAUUCCUGCAGACCUGAACAUUCCAGACUUACCAGGUGAUCCAGCUGUCUGUCAGCGGGAAGAGGCUGAGGCGCCCCCUUCUGGUGCAUCUGAAUAGUAAGAAACCCUGUGUAGAAAGAAACCCUGUAGCAAUUGGGCACCUUCUCCGUGAUCUGUCUGCUUCCAAUACCAAAAAUUGUUGCUUUUUAAAUGACAUCCAUCCUAAGCUUAAAAAAGACGCAUAUUAUUUGUAUAAAAUGUUGAAGACGCAGAACAAAAAAUGUAAAUCACAUGUAAUCAUCCCUUCCAGAAAUAAUCGUUAUUAAAAUUUCUGUGUAUGUGUAAAAAAAAAAAUUGCAAUCCUACUGUAAUAUAAUCCUGUAUACUGAUAUUUUUCACCUAUCACUGUAUGUUGAGCAUUUUCAAUAGUCAAAUUAUUUCUUGAAAAUAUUAAUGACUGGGGAGUAACCUUUCAAAUAGGUGUGUCUUUAUUUUUAAACCAGUCCACAAUUAUUGUAUAUUGAAGUCAUUUCCCAAAUUUUGUAAGUAUAAGUAUUGCAUCCAUCCUUAUAUGUAUUUAAAUGCAUCUCUUAUUAUUUCCUUGAGAUAAGUUCCUAGAAGUGGAAUCACUGGAUUUAAAAAUGUGGACAUAUUUAUGCCAGACGCGGUGGGUCAUGCCUGUAAUCCCAGCACUUUGGGAGACUGAAGCAGGUGGAUCACUUGAGGUCAGGAGUUCAAGACCAGCCUGGCCAACAUAGUGAAACCCCAUCUCUACUAAAAUUACAAAAAUUAGCCGGGUGUGGUAGUGCACGCCUGUAAUCCCAGCUACUCAGGAGGCUGAGGCAUAAGAAUCACUUGAACUCAGGAGGCGGAGGUUGCAGUGAGCCAAGAUGGCACCACUGCGCUCCAGUCUGGGCGACAGAGUAAGACUUCAUCUCAAAAAUAAAUAAAUAAAAUUAAAAUUAAAUAAGAUAAAUAAAAAAUAAAAAUGUGGACAUAUUUAAAUCUUCAUAUAUAUUACCAAAUGCCCUCCUGAAAGUUUUUACCUGUUACAUUCCAACCAAUAGUGUAAGGGCAUGACUCUUUCCCUGUGUUUUGGGAUGGAUGUUAUCAAAGUUCUCUCCCACCCAGGCCAAGUAUGGUAUAUGCUUUGAUUUAAUUUGAAUUUUUAAAUUAUUAUUUAAAAUGGACAUUUUGUUGUCCAUUUGAACAACUUUCUUUUGAGUCACUGUUCAUGUUCUUUGCCCAUUGUUUCUCUUUUAUUAGUAAGAACCCUAUUGUCAUUUUUAUAUUUUAAAUAAAAUUUCAUUGUAUAUACAUUUAUAUUAUCUAUAGUAAAGUAUAUUUUAUUAUUAAUGAGAACUUUUUAUAUUAAAGAUCCUAACCUAC
rnacentral:lncRNA from 1 species